CAAACACAAGAGAAAAAGAGGAGGAAAAACCAUGAUGAAUUUUCAGCAGUUUCCUUUCCUCUAUCUGCUUGUAGAAUUGGGAGAUCCAUGAAUCAACUAAGAAUUCAUCAAAUUAUAUAGUUUUCCUUCCACAUUGCAAACUUAUUGCAGUUCCAACAUAUCACAGGUUCUCCGGGUGAUGGAGGAGAGAUAUAUUUGGAGAUUAAGGGCCAGGAAAAAGAAAGACUGAAAAUAAGAGCACUAAAGUUAUCUUGAAAAAGUUAAAUGGCUGAGGAAACCCAAGACACAAGACAAAUGAAAAAGGACCAAUAUUCCAAAUGGGGUCAAAGGCAGAAGACAAGGAGCCUAAGGCAGCUUGAUUCCCGGACCUUCAAUAGAAAUCUAUACAUGUGAUGGAAAAUGUUAACCAUAUCUAGAAAAGUCUGAAUGCAGAUUGAAGUAUACUAUUUUUAUUUUGC